AGGGUACACCCGAUCCCAUUCCGAACUCGGCAGUUAAGCUCUUCGUCGCCGAUGAUACUGCAUACCGUCAUGUGGGAAAGUAGGUAGCUGCCAAAU
rnacentral:rRNA from 1 species